rnacentral:rRNA from 1 species
UACGGGGGGGGCAAGCGUUGUUCGGAAUUACUGGGCGUAAAGGGCUCGUAGGCGGCCAACUAGGUCAGACGUGAAAUCCCUCGGCUUAACCGGGGAACUGCGUCUGAUACUGGAUGGCUUGAGUUCGGGAGAGGGAUGCGGAAUUCCAGGUGUAGCGGUGAAAUGCGUAGAUAUCGGGAGGAACACCAGUGGCGAAGGCGACUUCCUGGCCUGUUCUUGACGCUGAGGCGCGAAAGCUAGGGGAGCAAACGGG